GUAAAAGAUGGGAAAGUUGUAUGGGAACCCAAGUCGGAGAAAAUUAAAGAAUCAUGUAAGAACAGAGCAGAGGAAUUCGACUUACGUAGACAAACUAUUGAUGAUGCUAACCCCUGUUUCGAGGAAGGUCAGAUGGCAUUAGAAUGUCUGAAGAAAAACAUGUACAAUAAAGCCAAAUGUUCCCUGGAGUUUGAGAAUACACGUGCUUGUAAGAAGUUCUGGUUUAAGGUCAAACGCAAUCGAAUGUUGAAUGGAAUUCAUCCCUUUCUGCCUGAUAAAGAAGAAAGAGAGGAGGUGAAAAAACAAUAUGCUCAUUUAUUAAAGGAUUGACUUAAACUUGUUGAAAGACACUCAUGUGCAAGUUUGUAUAUAUAUUUACCUGUAAUUGUUGGACAAUAAAAACUGCACAUUUCAGUUGCAACAUUUAUGUUUCAAUGUUUUAGUUUGGUAUGAUUUUAUUGAGCAGCUAGUGUAGUUUGUUAUACAUACAUGUAUAUUGUUAUUGGUCAUCUUCUAUCACACAGAAACUGUUGUGUAGCAUUUCAGUUAUAAAAUCUCAUAUUUAUAGUCAUUAAAUGCUUUCAUAAACUC
rnacentral:misc_RNA from 1 species